CUGUAGCUUUCCGGCUCGCGAAAGGGAGGACCUGUCUGGGUCAUGGAUUUUGAGAAUCUUUUCUCAAAACCCCCCAACCCGGCCCUCGGCAAAACGGCCACGGACUCUGACGAAAGGUGAUCCCCUUGUGCUUUACAUGAAAUAAAUCAUUUAAUCCUCAAAACAAACUUAAAGAGAAGAUGAUGCCGUCCUCGUUUUACAGAUGGGAAAACUGAGGCACGGAGAGGCUAAAUAACCUGCCGAGAUUGCACAAUAAUCGAUGAUGAAAUAGAUACAGAAGUUGAAGAAACACAAGAAGAUAAAAUUAAACUGGAGUGUGAGCAAAUUCCCAAAAAAUUUAGACACUCUGCAGUAUCACCAAAAAGUUCGCUGCAUAGAAAAUCAAGAAGUAAGGACUAUGAUGUAUAUAGUGAUAAUGAUAUCUGCAGUCAGGAAUCAGAAGAUAAUUUUGCCAAAGAGCUUCAACAGUACAUACAAGCCAGAGAAAUGGCAAAUGCUGCUCAACCUGAAGAAUCUACAAAGAAAGAAGGAGUAAAAGAUACCCCACAGGCUGCUAAACAAAAAAAUAAAAAUCUUAAAGCUGGUCACAAGAAUGGCAAACAGAAGAAAAUGAAGCGAAAAUGGCCUGGCCCUGGAAACAAAGGAUCAAAUGCUUUGCUGAGGAACAGUGGCUCACAGGAAGAGGAUGGUAAACCUAAAGAGAAGCAGCAGCAUUUGAGUCAGGCAUUCAUCAACCAACAUACAGUGGAACGCAAGGGAAAACAAAUUUGUAAAUAUUUUCUUGAAAGGAAAUGUAUUAAGGGAGACCAGUGUAAAUUUGAUCAUGAUGCAGAGAUAGAAAAGAAAA
rnacentral:sRNA from 1 species